GUAAACGCUUCUAAUAUCCGCGUAUUAUAUGGUGAUACGUAUUAGAAAGAUAUUAGUAUAGUAUAAUAGAAGUAUAGUAGAGGUAAAAGUAAACAUAUAAUUGAAAUAUAGUAGAGAAGUAAAAGUAGAAGUAAAAGAAUUAGAUUUUCUUGAAAACCACAAAUACUUUAUAACAAAAUUAAUUAUAGAAAAUUAUGUUAAAUUAAAUUAAAUUAAAUUAAAUUAUGUUAAAUUAGAUAAGAAAUUAGAUUAGAAAAAACGAUUGCACUAUUUAUUUUAUAAUUAUCUGUUGAUUGUUAGAAUAAAAGGAAAGUGUACGGAGUAUUUUAGAAGUGUACUUAAUCGAUCGCAAAUGUCGUUUUGUGGAUAUAUCUGUUUAUCUUAUCGUACUUUGCAAGAUUUUUUAGCAUACGUUUUCUUGCUCGACGUCACUAAAAAGAGAUGGAUGGUGCGACUCCUCAGGAGCUUUAAAGAUGUCUUAUGGCCCGAUAUUGGACAUUAUACUGUCUGGCAUAUAUACCUGAAGAAAGAAAAUGCACGAUGCAUGAUGUACAAAAAGUUGUACAAGAAUGGUUGCGCCACGCAAGAGAUCGCAUUAUAUAUAAUACGAAACAAAAAUAAUAUAAAAAUGUAUAUUAUAAAUUAAAAAUAUUAUAUAUUAUUAAUUGUAAUUAUAAAAAAUAAAUAUUAAGAAAAUUAUUAAAAAAUA